GGGGAUGUAGCUCAGCUGGGAGAGCGCCGCCUUUGCACGGCGGAGGCCAUCGGUUCGAUCCCGUUCAUCUCCACCA
rnacentral:tRNA from 1 species